GACGAACGCUGGCGGCGUGCCUAAUACAUGCAAGUAGAACGCUGAAGGAGGAGCUUGCUUCUCCGGAUGAGUUGCGAACGGGUGAGUAACGCGUAGGUAACCUGCCUGGUAGCGGGGGAUAACUAUUGGAAACGAUAGCUAAUACCGCAUAAGAGUAGAUGUUGCAUGACAUUUGCUUAAAAGGUGCAAUUGCAUCACUACCAGAUGGACCUGCGUUGUAUUAGCUAGUUGGUGGGGUAACGGCUCACCAAGGCGACGAUACAUAGCCGACCUGAGAGGGUGAUCGGCCACACUGGGACUGAGACACGGCCCAGACUCCUACGGGAGGCAGCAGUAGGGAAUCUUCGGCAAUGGACGGAAGUCUGACCGAGCAACGCCGCGUGAGUGAAGAAGGUUUUCGGAUCGUAAAGCUCUGUUGUAAGAGAAGAACGAGUGUGAGAGUGGAGAGUUCACACUGUGACGGAUCUACC
rnacentral:rRNA from 1 species